ensembl:rRNA 5S_rRNA 5S ribosomal RNA
GUUAACGGCCGUACAACCCUGAACUAGCCCGAUCUCGUCUGAUCUCGGAAGCAAAGCAGGAUCGGGCCUGGUAAGUACUUGGAUGGGAGACCGCCUGGGAAUUCCAGGGGCUGUAAGUG